rnacentral:rRNA from 1 species
UUGGGAGCUCUCCCAUAUGGUCGACCUGCAGGCGGCCGCGAAUUCACUAGUGAUUCGUAUUACCGCGGCUGCUGGCACGGAGUUAGCCGGGGCUUCUUCUCUCGGUACCGUCACUCCUCCGGAUUGUUCACCCGGAGGCCAUUCGUCUCGAUCGAAAGGAGUUUACGACCCGAAGAUCUUCAUCCUCCACGCGGCGUUGCGUCGUCAGGCUUGCGCCCAUUGCGAACAAUUCCCCACUGCUGCCUCCCGUAGGAGUCUGGGCCGUGUCUCAGUCCCAGUGUGGCCGGUCACCCUCUCAGGCCGGCUACCCGUCGAAGCCUUGGUAGGCCAUCACCCCACCAACAAGCUGAUAGGCCGCGGGCCCAUCCCCCACCGAAAAAACUUUCCACCCACAACCAUGCGGCCGCAGAUCAUAUCCGGUAUUAGACCCAGUUUCCCAGGCUUAUCCCAGAGUGAGGGGCAGGUCACCCACGUGUUACUCACCCGUUCGCCACUCGUGUACCCCCGAAAGGGCCUUACCGUUCGACUUGCAUGUGUUAAGCACGCCGCCAGCGUUCGUCCUGAGCCAUGAUCAAACUCUAAUCGAAUUCCCGCGGCCGCCAUGGCG